UGCACAGACAGUUCCCAGAGCCCAAAUUACACCAUAUGUGAUGAUGCGACCAUGCCAGCCUCCCCAGCCAGACUGAAAGUUCACCUAGGACAGAGCCUGGGACAGAUCCCCUCUGUGUCCAGGACACUCAGGAAGCGGGUAGGCAAGGAGCCACUCACCACUCCAGGCACACACACACACCUCAUAGGUCACCCCGCUGUCGGUGCCAGCGUCCCAGGGAAUCAGGUCUUGCACCACCUUCUGGACCCAGCCACAUUCCUUGGUGCACAGAUCUUCUGCAGAUAAGCCUACGUUCCAGUCGGGACUAGGGCCCACUGGGCGGCUGUUUGGGCAGACGCCAAGCUGGCUGCAGUUUUUUUUUUUUU
rnacentral:lncRNA from 1 species